UACGUAGGGUGCGAGCGUUAAUCGGAAUUACUGGGCGUAAAGAGCGCGCAGGCGGUCGGAUCAGUCGAAUGUGAAAGCCCCCGGGCUCAACUGGGGAGGGUCAUUCGAUACUGUCCGACUCGAAGGCAGGAGAGGGAAGCGGAAUUCCCGGUGUAGUGGUGAAAUGCGUAGAUAUCGGGAGGAACACCAGUGGCGAAGGCGGACUUUCUGGCC
rnacentral:rRNA from 1 species